rnacentral:rRNA from 1 species
UACAGAGGUCCCAAGCGUUGUUCGGAUUCACUGGGCGUAAAGGGUGCGUAGGCGGUCGGGUAAGUCUGAUGUGAAAUCUCCAAGCUCAACUUGGAAAUGGCAUCGGAUACUAUUCGGCUAGAGGAAUGGAGGGGAGACUGGAAUACUUGGUGUAGCAGUGAAAUGCGUAGAUAUCAAGUGGAACACCAGUGGCGAAGGCGAGUCUCUGGACAUUUCCUGACGCUGAGGCACGAAAGCCAGGGGAGCAAACGGG